AAUAGAUACCCAGGUAGUCCACGCCGUAAACGAUGAGUGCUAAGUGUUAGAGGGUUUCCGCCCUUUAGUGCUGCAGCUAACGCAUUAAGCACUCCGCCUGGGGAGUACGGUCGCAAGACUGAAACUCAAAGGAAUUGACGGGGGCCCGCACAAGCGGUGGAGCAUGUGGUUUAAUUCGAAGCAACGCGAAGAACCUUACCAGGUCUUGACAUCCUCUGACAACUCUAGAGAUAGAGCGUUCCCCUUCGGGGGACAGAGUGACAGGUGGUGCAUGGUUNGUCGUCAGCUCGUGUCGUGAGAUGUUGGGUUAAGUCCCGCAACGAGCGCAACCCUUGAUCUUAGUUGCCAGCAUUCAGUUGGGCACUCUAAGGUGACUGCCGGUGACAAACCGGAGGAAGGUGGGGAUGACGUCAAAUCAUCAUGCCCCUUAUGACCUGGGCUACGACACGUGCUACAAUGGAUGGUACAAAGGGCUGCAAGACCGCGAGGUCAAGCCAAAUCCCAUAAAACCCNUUACUCAGUUCGGAUUG
rnacentral:rRNA from 1 species